CAUGUUAAAAUGUGAAUUUUAAUCGUAAAAACUGUUUUCUGUAAAUAUAGUUAUAUCAACCUCUCUGCAUACAGCUUGGUUCAGAUAUAUACAGAUAUGAUAUACACAGAUGUUAUCUGUAGCACAGAACAUAAUCAGUUCAAGAAACAUGUGCCCGCUGGGAUGAACCCCAGCUUUCCUUAGGCCUUCUAAAUGAUUACCACCGAAGAGAGAACAGCAGAGCCAGAUGCAGGACAUUCAGGGAGAUGUAUCAACUGUCUUACUAAUUUCAUCCUAGGAGCUAAAGAAACAAAACUAGAUUCCGUUUCUCUUAUUGCUAUGACUCUUACACUGGGAUAUUCAUCAAAAUAGGGGUUUGACAUUUAAGGCGACGGGGAGGCUAUGCUGAUCUUACACUUGGAAAACACAGAACUUCUCCCAAGUUUCUUUUUCAGAAAAGACUUACUUGUCAGACCGAUUUAAAAAAAAAAUUCAGCCAACAAGCCUGAGAUGUACAAAGGAGGUUAGUUUUGUUUUCCUUGACCCCAUACCCCUCAGGUCUCCUACCCAGUCUUAUCAAAAGCACAGAACCUACAGCUUUCCUCACUGGUCUUGGAGGGCUAGACUGAAACGCAAUCUUUGAUUUGGACAAAGGAAGGAGUUUUCACUCCAAUGUCAACAAUAUAUGUUGACAAUCCGAUAACUCAGUGACCAGUGUGUGGGUUUUUCAUUUUGUGGAUCAUCUCUGGCUAGUUCAUAAAACCCUACACCCCACCUCCGCAUCCCCCAACUGUCCUUAGCAAAACAGAUGUACCAUUAGUGUAAAGAGGCAUUCUAUGGCAAAGAGAGGUGGUUCGUACCCAUCUGUUUAUGGUGAUUAAAUACAUUUCCUGAAUUGAGAUCCUAUUACCUGUAAAAGCCCAUUCAGUGCUGAGCUUCUAGAAUAAAUGCUAAAGAGAUGAGAGCAGGGCUUUACUUCUCCAUCAUCAGUUCUCUAUAUAGUACUAGAAAAUUAUUUCCUUUCUAAAUGUGCAGUUUCAUCUAACAGUCCCUGUAUUCCAGCUCCAAAAAAAUGAGCUAAAGUGACAGUUAUAAAACUACCUCUGGCUCCCUCUAGUUAA
rnacentral:lncRNA from 1 species